AAUCCUGGCUCGGGAUGAACGCUGGCGGCGUGCCUAAUACAUGCAAGUCGAACGCGAGCACUUGUGCUCGGGUGGCGAACGGGUGAGUAAUACAUAAGUAACCUGCCCUAGACAGGGGGAUAACUAUUGGAAACGAUAGCUAAGACCGCAUAGGUACGGACACUGCAUGGUGACCGUAUUAAAAGUGCCUCAAAGCACUGGUAGAGGAUGGACUUAUGGCGCAUUAGCUGGUUGGCGGGGUAACGG
rnacentral:rRNA from 1 species